UUAUACAUUUUUAUAGAUCAUAUUCCCUUUAUUUUACUUUAGGGUUCUCUUUUUCCGAUCUUUCUUUGAAAUUUGGAAUCCAGAACUCACCGAUCCAGCUCAGCUUGCCGGUUCAACUCGACUCUCUCAACCCACUACUGUUCUUGUCCAUUUCCGAAGUGAGCUGUUCUUACUCGCUUUCUCCCCCCCUACUUUUCGUGUGUGUACUUUUUCCUUCUUUUUUUUUCUGAGGGGGGGUGUUAAUUUGGUGAGAUUUUAGUAAAGAAUGAAAGAAAAUGAGUGGUUUUUCUUGCAUGAAUUCGUGGGAAAUUGAUAAGAUCACGCAUAAAAAGUAAACAAGGGGGGAAAACCCAUUAUUGUACUGCUUGUAGAUCUUCAAAUUUGCAGUAUCAUUUCAUUCGUAUUCGUAUUUACAAGCUUGGAUUUUUUCGGUUUAGGGUUUUUCUUUGGGGAUUAAGAUGGACCCAUCUGGUAUUGGUAAUGAUUGCAAGAACGAAUUUUGUAUUGAUAAUUUGAUAGCUGCAAGAAAGUCACUGAAGCUUAGCUUAGAGAAAUCAAAAACCCUAGGAUUGGCUCUUGAAAAGGCUGGACCUAGGUUAGAGGAGAUCAACCAACGAUUGCCUUCCUUAGAAGCUGCUGUUCGCCCGAUUCGUGCUGAUAAGGAUGCACUUGUUGCUGUCGGGGGCCAUAUUAACCGAGCCGUGGGCCCUGCUGCGGCAGUGCUUAAGGUUUUCGAUGCUGUUCAUGGACUUGAAAAGUCCCUACUAUCAGAUCCCAGGAACGAUCUUCCUGGGUAUUUAUCGGUGUUGAAACGCCUUGAAGAGGCAUUAAAGUUUCUGGGUGAUAAUUGCGGAUUGGCAAUUCAAUGGUUAGAAGAUAUAAUUGAGUAUUUGGAGGAUAACAGAGUUGCUGAUGGACGGUACCUGUUGAAUAUGAAGACCUAUCUCAAGGGCUUAAGGGAGUUGCAAAAUGACGGGGAAAGAGUACAUCUUGAUGGUGGGCUUUUGGAUGCUGCAUUGGAUAAACUGGAAAAUGAGUUUAGAAGACUAUUGAUGGAGCAUAGUGUGCCACUUCCAAUGUCAUCGCCGCCACUUGGUGAACAGGCAUGCAUUGCACCAUCGCCCUUACCUGUGACUGUUAUUCAGAAGUUGCAAGCGAUUCUUGGUAGGCUGAUUGCUAAUAAUAGACUUGAGAAGUGCAUUGCAAUCUACGUUGAAGUUCGUAGUUCAAACGUCAGAGCUAGCUUGAAGGCACUUGAUUUGGAUUAUCUUGAGAUCUCAGUCUCAGAGUUCAAUGAUAUGCAGAGCAUAGAGGGGUAUAUAGGACAGUGGGGAAAACAUUUGGAGUUUGCAGUAAAGCAUUUGUUUGAGGCAGAGUUCAAGCUUUGCAAUGAUGUUUUCGAGAGGAUUGGCUUGGAUGUUUGGAUGGUUUGUUUUGCAAAAAUAGCUGCACAAGCUGGUAUUCUUGCAUUUCUUCAGUUCGGAAAGACUAUUACGGAGAGUAAGAAAGAACCUAUAAAGCUUCUCAAGCUAUUGGACAUAUUUGCAUCUUUGAACAAAUUGAGAUUGGAUUUCAAUAGGCUCUUUGGGGGAGCAGCAUGUAUUGAGAUCCAAAACCUGACAAGAGAUCUCAUCAAGAGGGUUAUUGACGGCGCAGCCGAAAUUUUCUGGGAGAUCUUUGUUCAGGUAGAAUUACAGAGGCAGAGCCCUCCUCCUCAGGAUGGGAGCAUUCCAAAAUUGGUGAGUACUAUAACUGAUUACUGCAAUAAACUUCUUGGUGAUGAUUAUAGGCCGAUCCUGACCCAGGUUCUUGUCAUUCACCAAAGUUGGAAGCAUAAAAAAUUCCAGGAGAUGAUCCUUGUAAAUGAGGUUUCGAAAAUAAUAAAGGCCGUCGAUUUGAAUUUGGAUACAUGGAUGAAGGCAUAUGGUGAUACUACCCUUUCUUGUCUUUUUGCCAUGAACUGCCACUGGCAUCUAUACAAAGACUUAAAGGGAACAAAAGUUGGAGAGCUCAUGGGAGAUUCUUGGUUGAAAGAACAUGUAGAGUACAAGGAGUAUUAUUCUGCUGUCUUCUUUAAAGGGAGUUGGGCUAAGCUCCCUGUUCAUUUAAGCCGUGAAGGGUUAAUUAUGUUCUCAGGCGGUCGUGCCAGUGCUCGUGAUCUUGUAAAGAAAAGGCUCAAGACUUUUAAUGAAGCUUUUGAUGAAAUGUAUAGAAAGCAGUCUGGUUGGGUUAUCCCAGAAAGAGAUUUGAGGGAGAAGACAUGCCAACUAAUAGUGCAGACAGUUCUACCUGUUUAUCGAAGCUAUAUGCAAACUUAUGGGCCAUUAGUAGAGCAAGAUGCAAGUUCCAGUAAGUAUGCAAAGUACACAGUGCAGGGGUUGGAACAAAUGCUCCUUUCUCUUUUUCUACCGAGGCGGGAAAGGUACGGCAGUUUCAAAGGUAGGCCAACAGGCAGCAAAAUUGAUAAUGGGGUAGAUCUUCGCCGGACUGCAUCAGCUGUUGCGUGAUUGUCCAAUCUAUUUAUGUCGCGGUGGUUAAAAUGUUCAUGUUUUAGAGGUUUAAUCUUAUAUCUUGUACAUAUCAGUGUUCUUAGGGCGGAGGUAGAACUAUUCUCCAUCAUUCAUCCUUUGCCCUUGGACAGCACAUGCUUUGGACAUUUGACAUUUCAUUACUCAAGGAGUUGCCAGAAUUUGAUGUGUGAAGCAGAUUUUGCUUUGUCAACUGUAAAGCAAAUGUAGGGUGGGAUUGGGGGACAUAACAAGCAAGAACAGUGUUGGGUUGGUAGAUAAGAGAAUAACAUCCAGGAUGGGGUGUACGUGUCGUUGAGAACUUACCUUCCUCAGUUCCUCUGCAUUGGGAAUAAAGUGUUGGGCUGUUUCUUGGAUUAUUUUUACUUAUUAGAGAAUAAAUAUAGAUGUUCCUCCUUCAAA